GACGAACGCUGGCGGCGUGCUUAACACAUGCAAGUCGAACGGAAAGGCCCUGCUUGCAGGGUACUCGAGUGGCGAACGGGUGAGUAACACGUGGGUGAUCUGCCCUGCACUUCGGGAUAAGCCUGGGAAACUGGGUCUAAUACCGGAUAGGAGCCAUUUUUAGUGUGAUGGUUGGAAAGUUUUUUCGGUGUAGGAUGAGCUCGCGGCCUAUCAGCUUGUUGGUGGGGUAAUGGCCUACCAAGGCGGCGACGGGUAGCCGGCCUGAGAGGGUGGACGGCGACAUUGGGACUGAGAUACGGCCCAGACUCCGACGGGAGGCAGCAGUGGGGAAUAUUGCACAAUGGGCGCAAGCCUGAUGCAGCGACGCCGCGUAGGGGAUGACGGCCUUCGGGUUGUAAACUCCUUUCGCUAGGGACGAAGCUUUUUGUGACGGUACCUAGAUAAGAAGCACCGGCUAACUACGUG
rnacentral:rRNA from 1 species